rnacentral:rRNA from 1 species
UGAACGCUAGCUACAGGCUUAACACAUGCAAGUCGAGGGGCAGCAUGGUCUUAGCUUGCUAAGGCCGAUGGCGACCGGCGCACGGGUGAGUAACACGUAUCCAACCUGCCGUCUACUCUUGGACAGCCUUCUGAAAGGAAGAUUAAUACAAGAUGGCAUCAUGAGUCCGCAUGUUCACAUGAUUAAAGGUAUUCCGGUAGACGAUGGGGAUGCGUUCCAUUAGAUAGUAGGCGGGGUAACGGCCCACCUAGUCUUCGAUGGAUAGGGGUUCUGAGAGGAAGGUCCCCCACAUUGGAACUGAGACACGGUCCAAACUCCUACGGGAGGCAGCAGUGAGGAAUAUUGGUCAAUGGGCGAGAGCCUGAACCAGCCAAGUAGCGUGAAGGAUGACUGCCCUAUGGGUUGUAAACUUCUUUUAUAAAGGAAUAAAGUCGGGUAUGGAUACCCGUUUGCAUGUACUUUAUGAAUAAGGAUCGGCUAACUCCGUGCCAGCAGCCGCGGUAAUACGGAGGAUCCGAGCGUUAUCCGGAUUUAUUGGGUUUAAAGGGAGCGUAGAUGGAUGUUUAAGUCAGUUGUGAAAGUUUGCGGCUCAACCGUAAAAUUGCAGUUGAUACUGGAUAUCUUGAGUGCAGUUGAGGCAGGCGGAAUUCGUGGUGUAGCGGUGAAAUGCUUAGAUAUCACGAAGAGCUCCGAUUGCGAAGGCAGCCUGCUAAGCUGCAACUGACAUUGAGGCUCGAAAGUGUGGGUAUCAAACAGGAUUAGAUACCCUGGUAGUCCACACGGUAAACGAUGAAUACUCGCUGUUUGCGAUAUACUGCAAGCGGCCAAGCGAAAGCGUUAAGUAUUCCACCUGGGGAGUACGCCGGCAACGGUGAAACUCAAAGGAAUUGACGGGGGCCCGCACAAGCGGAGGAACAUGUGGUUUAAUUCGAUGAUACGCGAGGAACCUUACCCGGGCUUAAAUUGCAGAUGAAUUACGGUGAAAGCCGUAAGCCGCAAGGCAUCUGUGAAGGUGCUGCAUGGUUGUCGUCAGCUCGUGCCGUGAGGUGUCGGCUUAAGUGCCAUAACGAGCGCAACCCUUGUUGUCAGUUACUAACAGGUUCCGCUGAGGACUCUGACAAGACUGCCAUCGUAAGAUGUGAGGAAGGUGGGGAUGACGUCAAAUCAGCACGGCCCUUACGUCCGGGGCUACACACGUGUUACAAUGGGGGGUACAGAGGGCCGCUACCACGCGAGUGGAUGCCAAUCCCCAAAACCUCUCUCAGUUCGGACUGGAGUCUGCAACCCGACUCCACGAAGCUGGAUUCGCUAGUAAUCGCGCAUCAGCCACGGCGCGGUGAAUACGUUCCCGGGCCUUGUACACACCGCCCGUCAAGCCAUGGGAGCCGGGGGUACCUGAAGUGCGUAACCGCGAGGAGCGCCCUAGGGUAAAACUGGUGACUGGGGCUAA